GAUGAACGCUGGCGGCGUGCCUAACACAUGCAAGUCGAGCGAACCCUUCGGGGUGAGCGGCGGACGGGAGAGUAACGCGUGGGUAACCUGCCCUAUACACACGGAUAACGUACCGAAAGGUACGCUAAUACGGGAUAAAGUUGUUGGAUGGCAUCUUCUAACAAUCAAAGCUCCGGCGGUGUAGGAUGGACCCGCGUCUGAUUAGCUAGUUGGUGAGGUAAUGGCUUACCAGGGCGACGAUCAGUAGCCGACCUGAGAGGGUGAUCGGCCACCCUGGAACUGAGACACGGUGCAGACUCCUACGGGGGGCAGCAGUAGGGAAUUUUCCACAAUGGGCGAAAGCCUGAUGGAGCAACGCCGCGUGCAGGAUGACGGCCCUCGGGUCGUAAACUGCUUUUAUGUGAGAAGAAUAUGACGGUAACACAUGAAUAAGGGUCGGCUAACUACUUGCCAGCCGCCGCUGUAA
rnacentral:rRNA from 1 species